CUCUCGGUAGCCAAGUUGGUUUAAGGCGCAAGACUGUAAUUUACUACUACGAAAUCUUGAGAUCGGGCGUUCGACUCGCCCCCGGGAGA
rnacentral:tRNA from 1 species